GGUCAAGUACGCCUCAGAUGGUUAGAGCGAUAGGCUAACGCCUUGUGCCGCGAGUUCGAAUCUCGCCUUGCUCG
rnacentral:tRNA from 3 species